rnacentral:rRNA from 1 species
AGUAACGCGUAAGAACUUGCCCUUUAGACUGGGAUAACAGAGGGAAACUUCUGAUAAUACUGGAUAAGUUAGUAUAUCGCAUGAUAUGCAAAUGAAAGCUACGGCACUAAAGGAGAGCUUUGCGUCCUAUUAGCUAGUUGGUAAGGUAAGAGCUUACCAAGGCGAUGAUAGGUAGCCGGCCUGAGAGGGUGGACGGCCGCAAGGGGACUGAGAUACGGCCCUUACUCCUACGAGGCAGCAGGU